rnacentral:misc_RNA from 1 species
UGGUCUGGGAUCCUUCUUUUGGUGGUUUUUCCCCUCUUUUUCUCUAUUAAUGAAAUCCUUAUGCUUAUAAAAGAAAAAAAGUUAUAGAUGAAAUGUGCCUAAGGACUAGCGUGUUUAAUUUGGUUGUAAAAUUUGUUCUUAUUUUCACUUAUAAUCACUACAUUUAUGACCAUUAGUUGUUGUUUUUUUUACAUGUAUUGCACAUUAUCUAUACUCGUUGUAUGUACUCGUAGUUUAAUUUUAUUUAUAUGCAAUUUUAGAAAAUUUCUAUACUAAUUAAUUAAUAUAAACCAUAAAACUAAUAGAAAAUUUUCAUAAGAGCAAGUAUAAUAAUACAACAAAACUACAAAAACCAAAGGAAAAAAUCCAAACCAUCUAAACCAAAACUAUGAAAACACCUAAAAGGCACUUUCAUUAUUCUAUAGUUGUGUGUACUUAAGUAAUAACAAUUACUUGAAAAAAAAAGAUGUCAUCUCCACAAAAAAAUGGUGAAGACCAAGAACCUUUCUUCGCAUAGGAAUCCUAUCCAAGUAAGAGGAGCAAGAAAAGUUUUACAACUUCUUAAUUU